UAAAUUUGAUCCACUUCCCGGUUUCCGAUUGAGCUGAAAUUUUGCAUACAUACCUAAGUCGGGUGACAAUGCAAUAUUAUGGUGUCAUGGAGCUGAUCUGAUGAUGGAGACAGGAGGUGGCCAUAGGAACUCUGUGAUAAAACAACGUAACGUAAUUGUCUCGAUGAGCAUUAGUUGCCUGUGGAAAGAAAAGUACAGUCAGCGAUAAAAGCUUGUACCAAAAAUGAAAUUUUUGCCAAAAACUUAUUAUUA